GACGAACGCUGGCGGCGUGCUUAACACAUGCAAGUCGAACGGAAAGGCCUUUUCGGAGGUACUCGAGUGGCGCACGGGUGAGUAACACGUGGGUGAUCUGCCCUGCACUCUGGGAUAAGCCUGGGAAACUGGGUCUAAUACCGGAUAGGACCGCACUUUAGUGUGUGUGGUGGAAAGCUUUUUCGGUGUAGGAUGAGCCCGCGGCCUAUCAGCUUGUUGGUGGGGUAAUGGCCUACCAAGGCGGCGACGGGUAGCCGGACUGAGAGGUUGGUCGGCCACAUUGGGACUGAGAUACGGCCCAGACGCCUACGGGAGGCAGCAGUGGGGAAUAUUGCACAAUGGGCGCAAGCCUGAUGCAGCGACGCCGCGUGGGGGAUGACGGCCUUCGGGUUGUAAACUCCUUUCGCCAGGGACGAAGCGUUUUGUGACGGUACCUGGAGAAGAAGCACCGGCUAACUACGUG
rnacentral:rRNA from 1 species